UCAGCGGCGGACGGGUGAGUAAUGCCUAGGAAUCUGCCUGGUAGUGGGGGACAACGUUUCGAAAGGAACGCUAAUACCGCAUACGUCCUACGGGAGAAAGUGGGGGAUCUUCGGACCUCACGCUAUCAGAUGAGCCUAGGUCGGAUUAGCUAGUUGGUGAGGUAAAGGCUCACCAAGGCGACGAUCCGUAACUGGUCUGAGAGGAUGAUCAGUCACACUGGAACUGAGACACGGUCCAGACUCCUACGGGAGGCAGCAGUGGGGAAUAUUGGACAAUGGGCGAAAGCCUGAUCCAGCCAUGCCGCGUGUGUGAAGAAGGUCUUCGGAUUGUAAAGCACUUUAAGUUGGGAGGAAGGGCAGUAAGUUAAUACCUUGCUGUUUUGACGUUACCAACAGAAUAAGCACCGGCUAACUUCGUGCCAGCAGCCGCGGUAAUACGAAGGGUGCAAGCGUUAAUCGGAAUUACUGGGCGUAAAGCGCGCGUAGGUGGUUCGUUAAGUUGGAUGUGAAAGCCCCGGGCUCAACCUGGGAACUGCAUC
rnacentral:rRNA from 1 species